rnacentral:rRNA from 1 species
AGUUGCAGGGUAUAGACCCGAAACCCGGUGAUCUAGCCAUGGGCAGGUUGAAGGUUGGGUAACACUAACUGGAGGACCGAACCGACUAAUGUUGAAAAAUUAGCGGAUGACUUGUGGCUGGGGGUGAAAGGCCAAUCAAACCGGGAGAUAGCUGGUUCUCCCCGAAAGCUAUUUAGGUAGCGCCUCGUGAACUCAUCUUCGGGGGUAGAGCACUGUUUCGGCUAGGGGGUCAUCCCGACUUACCAACCC